UUUUUCUUUUGCGGUGUCUCUAAAAAAUUAGUUUAUUUGAGGCCUUAAGUUUUCUUUUGUUUGAGAAUUGAAAAAUUCUUUCUAAUGCCCUUUACACAUUACCCCUUUUCAAUUCUACCAUAUUAUAUUUACCAUUUUCAUUUAUACCCUCUUUAAAUUUUUAAUGACCAUUUAACCCCUAUUUGUAAAUUGAUUUAGGUUAAUAAAAUGAAGUAUUAAUAUUUUCGCCUAAAAUAUUCCAAAAUAAAAUUUCCUGCCAAAAAAUUUGGGAAAAAACUUCACGUCAAAAAUUUCGGAAAAAAAAAUUCCCGCCAAAAUUUUCCCGCAAAAAAAUUUCGGAAAAAUUUUCCGCCAAAAUUUUUUUCGAAAAUAUUUUUCCCGUAAAUUUUUUGUUUUGGCGGGAAAUAGAUUUACAAGGGAUUUUAAAAGGGGUUUAAAAGAUUUACAAGAGAUUUUAAAAGGGUUUAAAAGAUUUACAAGGGAUUUUAAAGGACUUUAAAAGACUUACAAGAGUUUUUUUAAAGAUUUUUAAAGGGUUUAAAAAUGUUUUAAAAGAUUUACAAGGGAUUUUUAAAGGGUUUUAAAAGAUGUACAAGAGUUUUAAAAGAUUUUAAAAGAAUUUAUAAAAAAAACCUUUAAAAACUCUUGUAAAUCUUUUUAAAACCUGUUUUAAAGGUUCAGAAGAGAUUUAAAAUGGUUCAAAAAGAGUAAUAAAUGUUUUCAAUACUUACAAUUCUUUUUCUAAGAGUUAAAAAAUGCUUGUAAAAACUUUAUAAGAGUUUUAAAAGGAUUUAUAAAGGUUUAAAAUCCCUUGUAAAUCAUUCUUUGACAUUUAAAAACGAUUGUAAAUCAUUUUAACCCCUUUUAAAAUCUCUUGUAAAUCAUUCAAUGUCACUUACUUAUGCUUUAAAACGAUUGUAAACCAUACAAACACUUUUAAAAUCCCUUGUAAAUCAUUCUAUGCCACUUACUUAUGCUUUAAAAACGAUUGUUAAAUCAUGUUGUACCCUUUUAUAAGCUUUUAAAAUCCCUUGUAAAUCAUUCUAAUGCCACUUACUUAUGCUUAAAAAAACAUUGUGAACCAUGCUAACCCUUUUUAAAACUCCUUGUAAAUCAUUUUAUGCCAAUUACUUAUGCUUUAAAAACGAUUGUAAAUCAUGUUUUACCCUUUUAUAAGCUUUUAAAAUCCCUUGUAAAUCAUUCAUUGCCACUUACUUAUGCUUAAAAAACGAUUGUAAACCAUGCUAACCCUUUUUAAAUCCCUUGUAAAUCAUUGUAUGUCACUUACUUAUGCUUUAAAAACGAUUGUAAAUCAUGUUUUACCUUUUUAUAAGUUUUUAAAAUCCCUUGUAAAUCAUUUAAUGCCACUUACUUAUGCUUAAAAAACGAUUGUAAAUCUUGUAAAACUAUUAUAAAAAGCUUUAAAAAGAUUUACAAAGGUUUUAAAAGGGGUUUUAAAGUAUUUACCUAUGUUUUUAAAGACUUUAUAAAA
rnacentral:sRNA from 1 species